UACAGAGGUCUCAAGCGUUGUCCGGAAUCAUUGGGCGUAAAGAGCGCGUAGGCGGCCCUGUAAGUCCGCUGUGAAAGUCAAGGGCUCAACCCUUGAAUGCCGGUGGAUACUGCAGGGCUAGAGUCCGGAAGAGGCGAGUGGAAUUCCUGGUGUAGCGGUGAAAUGCGCAGAUAUCAGAAGGAACACCGAUGGCGAAGGCAGCUCGCUGGGACGGUACUGACGCUGAGACGCGAAAGCGUGGGGAGCGAACAGG
rnacentral:rRNA from 1 species